rnacentral:lncRNA from 1 species
GGAAAAGUUUACUUAAGAGCUGUUUUUUAAAUUAUUACUAACUUGUUUCAAACAACACUCUCAUACUCCAGAUAAUUCAAUUUUCAUCUCUUUGGAGCUGAGCAAACCAGAUGAAAUUAUAUGAAUCCCAGUUUAUUUCAUUUUGUUGUAGAGUUCAACAAUUUUUAUGAAUUUCUAAUCCAACCUCAUCAUCCUAUGGGAAACAGAAGACCACCAAGAACAGCCAGCUGAGACAGAAUUUCACUGUGUUGCCCAAGCCAAUCUUAAACUCCUGGUCUCAAGCGAUCCUCCUGCCUUGGCCUCCCACUGUGCCUGGCCUAUGGACUCUGAAUUUUUUUAAAAGACUGGAAAAAACUUUUAUAAGAGAAUUGG